rnacentral:tRNA from 1 species
CACUAAGAAGCUAUAUUGGGUCUAGCAUUAGCCUUUUAAGCUAAAAACUGGUGAUUCCCUACCACCCUUAGUGA